rnacentral:rRNA from 9 species
UAGGGGUGAAAGGCCAAUCAAACUUGCUGAUAGCUGGUUCUCCGCGAAAUCUAUUUAGGUAGAGCGUCACGAUUAGACUCUGGGGGGUAGAGCACUGAAUGGGCUAGGGGUCCUCACCGGAUUACCAAACCUUCUCAAACUCCGAAUACCCAGAAGUUAUGCGUGGCAGACACACGGCGGGUGCUAACGUCCGUCGUGAAGAGGGAAACAACCCAGACCGCCAGCUAAGGUCCCAAAAUAUUGCUAAGUGGGAAACGAUGUGGGAAGGCUAAGACAGCUAGGAGGUUGGCUUAGAAGCAGCCAUCCUUUAAAGAAAGCGUAACAGCUCACUGAUCAAGCGCCUCUGCGCGGAAAAUGUAUCGGGACUAAAGUUAUUCGCCGAAAUUGCGGACUCGAAAGAGUGGUAGCGGAGCGUUCCGUAAGCCUGUGAAGGUGAACCGUGAGGUUUGCUGGAGGUAUCGGAAGUGAGAAUGCUGACAUGAGUAGCGACAAACAGGGUGAGAGACCCUGUCGCCGAAAGACCAAGGGUUCCUGCGUAAAGCUAAUCUGCGCAGGGUUAGCCGGCCCCUAAGGCAAGGCCGAAAGGCGUAGUCGAUGGGAACCACGUUAAUAUUCGUGGGCCAAGGGAUGAGUGACGGAUUUCGAAAGUUGUAUUCCCUUAUUGGAUUGGGAAUGCAGCCUGGAAGUUCCUGGAAAUAGCCUCCCUAUUAGACCGUACCCGAAACCGACACAGGUGGUCAGGUAGAGAAUACUAAGGCGCUUGAGAGAACUCGGGUGAAGGAACUCGGCAAAAUUGUACCGUAACUUCGGGAGAAGGUACGCUCUCUUUGGUGAUCGGACUUGCUCCGUAAGCUGAGGAGAGUCGAAGUGACCAGGUGGCUGCAACUGUUUAUUAAAAACAUAGCACUCUGCAAACUCGUGAGAGGAAGUAUAGGGUGUGACGCCUGCCCGGUGCCGGAAGGUUAAUUGAUGGGGUUAGCGUAAGCGAAGCUCUUGAUCGAAGCCCCGGUAAACGGCGGCCGUAACAAUAACGGUCCUAAGGUAGCGAAAUUCCUUGUCGGGUA